rnacentral:rRNA from 1 species
CCUGGCGGCUGUAGCGCGGUGGUCCCACCUGACCCCAUGCCGAACUCAGAAGUGAAACGCCGUAGCGCCGAUGGUAGUGUGGGGCCUCCCCAUGCGAGAGUAGGGAACUGCCAG